AUCAAAACAUCUCAAGGCAUUAAAAAUCAAUCAUGUAAAAGAUGAUAAAUGGAUUCACCUAUUAUUGAAGGUCCUUGCUUCCCAUGGAGUACAUUCGGAACUAAUAAAAUUUGUAGAGAAGUACCAUUCUUAACUUUGCACAGGCUUCAGUUUCCAGCACGAGUUGUGGUCCAGACCGUCUACAUUGGCUUCUCUAUCCAGACACACAUGUCCAUGAAUAAUUCACCAUGAAGCUCCCAUCGAGACCGUCUACAAUGGCUUCAGUUUGGGACGGCCCCCUUCCAGAGAUGCCACUCCUUGUCCUGUCAAAUGAGUAUGAAGUAUAGGAAGAGAUCAUGGUCAAAGUCUAAAUGCACUCAUAGGAUCUGCAUCGGAUGUAUCCUCUACUCCUAUCUAUUUAUCAAUGGAAAUCUCUAUGCUUUUCAAGGUUGUAAUUUGCUAGAGGUUUCUCUUUUCGCCUCUGCAUCACUAGCAUUGUUGCUCAAAACAUGUAAGUAGAGAUCAUUUGACCCAUUUGAAGAUCAAAUUUAUAAUUAGAGACCAUUCUUGAAGAUCAUCAUGAUUUAGAGUGUUAAAUUUGACAUGU